UACAGAGGUCUCAAGCGUUGUUCGGAUUUACUGGGCGUAAAGGGCGCGCAGGCGGCUAUCCAAGUCAGGCGUGAAAGCCCCGGGCUUAACCUGGGAGGUGCGUCUGGGACUGGGUGGCUAGAGAUCGGGAGAGGAGAGUGGAAUUCCCAGUGUAGAGGUGAAAUUCGUAGAUAUUGGGAAGAACACCGGUGGCGAAGGCGGCUCUCUGGACCGAUACUGACGCUGAGGCGCGAAAGCGUGGGGAGCAAACAGG
rnacentral:rRNA from 1 species